rnacentral:rRNA from 1 species
AUGAGGGCCAUGGAGAUGGAGAUGUUGAUCAGCGACGAGAAGGUGGUGCUCGGCGGCUCUGGAGACGAGGAGGAAGAGGACGACGUGGUGCUGCCGGUAUACCGGUUCCACCCCACCGACGAGGAACUCGUCACCUUCUACCUCCGGCGGAAGGUGGCCGGGAAGUCGCUCAGCAUCGAGGUCAUCCGGGAGAUGGAUAUCUACAAACAUGACUCAUGGGAUCUCCCCAGUAAGCUCCUCUCCCGUGUGUGA